rnacentral:lncRNA from 1 species
UGGGGAUACGAGGAUGAAUCCUGGGUUCUCUCCAGGAUGGAGAUAGUAUGGAUUACAAGGAUUUUGAGGAUCAAUUCUGGAAGGAUUGGGAGCUGUGAUUUCUUGUGAGUCAUCAAAGUCUAUGUCUGCCAUGGCUUCUUGAUGUGCAGCAAAGAUUCAGAACAGAAAGCAAGAAUGAAUUUGGUGAGAGAUGUGAUACCUUUUCUGGUU